GCAUGACGCACACACCCGUACCGUAUCCAAAACCAACGCACUUUCUAUCAUCACAUGAGAGAUAAAAUGUUUUCAAGUAGAAUGAUAUUUGCUAUAUGGUAAAUCUUUUAUAUUUUGCAAACUGCGAAGGAAAUUAAAUAUUUUUUGUAUCUCGUAUUGUGUGGGUGAGGAAUUUGCAAAUGGGAAAUGCGUGUAUUUUACAUCACACUCGGGUAAAACAAUUAAUUUCAUUUAAUCUUGAAACCAACCUGCCGAGCCCAACCUUUACUAACUUCCUUUCUCGUGUGGAUAUAAAGUAAACAUCUGGCCUUAGUAUUUUUGUCUGACUUGUAUUAUUUUUUUCGUUACGACACACAGAACUCGCGUCUUAAGACUAUACUAAAUAAGUUUCCAUCUUCUCACAUCAUGUCAAACAAUAGUUUCCCUUUUAUAAUAAGAAGCAUGUUCUAUUUGCCAAGAAAGCCAUAUGGAAUUUCCUGUCUUAAAUAAAGUGCAUCUGUGAUGUGUCUUCAUGUUGUCUGUGGUUGGUUGGUGGAGGUAGAUGGGUAAAUAUAGCUCGACAUGGCUCGUGUUUAAUGUAAUAAUUGUCUUAAGUAAAACGGAUUCAUCAUCAUGAAUGAUUCUAAGAAGUUAAAACCUUCACUUAUCUAAGUUAGUGAAAUUCAGUCUCUUUUACUUUUUACGUGAUCCAGUUAACAAACUAAUUGUUUUUUCUUAGCAAGUUUGUACAAAAACGAAACCUUUGAUUGAUCUCAUCCCAUCCCUAAAUUAACAUGCACUUCCGUUCCGUGAAAUAUGUAUAUCUUACCAACACGCAUCGUGUUACGAAGUGUAUGCAUAUGUUUUGCAGGAAAUGACGAGAUGAUUGAUUCAACAUUCGGAUUGGAAUUUGCGUUGUGGAAAUACCGAUAACUUGCAUUGACGAGUUACAUAAUGUGAAGUACUAUAUCUUUCCGCAAUUUCGUGACCCCCAUCAACCCGGUCCUGUAAUGUCAAGAAGAGAACAUUUUAAGACAAUUGCUAGUCAACUCUACAAUUAGUACUGAACUGAAUUUAUAAAUCGUUAUACAAUUACACAUUUAAAACACCAGACACAAUAAGUAUUAGUCAUAAAAUAAACUCUAAUGAACUUUACUCGAAAUAAUGGUACUCCAAAAUCUAUACAUUUCAUUUACGAUUAAGAAUUGGUGCCAUUGACUAUAAUUGCAUUACAAUUGCAUCGUUCUAAAAAAUACAAACAUCUCAUUGUG